AGAUGUGUCUCAGAUUGUCUCAUGUGUCUCAGAUCAUCAUAGAUGUGUCUCUGAUUGUCUCAAAUGUCUCACAUCAUUGCAGAUAUGUCUCAGAUCGUGUAAUGUGUCUCAGAUCAUCAUAGAUGUGUCUCAGAUUGUCUCAGAUGUAUCUCAGAUUGUCUCAGAUGUGUCUCAGAUUGUCUCAGAUGUGUCUCAGAUUGUCUCAUAUGUGUCUCAGAUUGUCUCAUGUGUCUCAGAUCAUCAUAGAUGUGUCUCAGAUGUGUCUCAGAAUAUCAUAGAUGUGUUUCAGAUUGUCUCGGUGUCUCAGAUUAUCAUAGAUGUGUCUCAGAUUGUCUCAGAACAACAUAGAUGUGUCUCAGAUUGUCUCAGAUGUGUCUCAUAUUAUCAUAGAUGUGUCUCAGAUUGUCUCAGAUCAACAUAGAUGUGUCUCUGAUUGUCUCAAAUGUCUCACAUCAUCGUAGAUAUGUCUCAGAUUGUGUCAUGUGUCUCAGUUCAUCAUAGAUGUGUCUCAGAUUGUCUCAGAUGUGUUUCAGAUUAUCAUAGAUGUGUCUCAGAUUGUCUCAGAUCAACAUAGAUGUGUCUCUGAUUGUCUCAAAUGUCUCACAUCAUCAUAUAUAUAUGUCUCAGAUUGUGUCAUGUGUUUCAGAUCAUCACAGGUGUGUCUCAUAUGGUCUCAGAUGUGUCUCAGAUUGUCUCAUGUGUCUCAGAUCAUCAUAGAUGUGUCUCUGAUUGUCUCAAAUGUCUCACAUCAUUUUAGAUAUGUCUCAGAUUGUGUAAUGUGUCUCAGAUCAUCAUAGAUGUGUCUCAGAUUGUCUCAGAUGUAUCUCAGAUUGUCUCAGAUGUGUCUCAGAUUGUCUCAGAUGUGCCUCAGAUUGUCUCAUAUGUGUCUCAGAUUGUGUCAUGUAUCUCAGAUCAUCAUAGAUGUGUCUCUGAUUGUCUCAAAUGUCUCACAUCAUUGUAGAUAUGUCUCAGAUUGUGUCAUGUUUCUCAGAUCAUCAUAGAUGUGUCUCGGAUUGUCUCAAAUCAACAUAGAUGUGUAUACGAUUGUCUCAGAUCAUCAAGGUGGGUUUUCCCUUUUUUGUGAGGUCUCCAUUUCUAGAGAUUGAGAAUCAACUCUUUGACUUAGCUUUGAUUUUUAAUGAUAAAUCUGAGCCUGUUGUGUUUUCUGAUUUCAUGUUUCUGGUCUUACUGUUAAAGAUUCAUCACUGUAUUUAAGUGAUUGUUAUUCAACAGUAAAGAUUUACUUAUUAAUAUGUAAUACUGUAACUCGCUCUUGUGUAGUUAAUAUAGUCAUUUUACAACCUUAUAAUGGUUUAAAUAAUCUACUGGACCUCAAUAAUCUACUGCAAACUCACAUUCACAUCUAACUUUACACUGAAGAAGUUCACCAGCUGUCAGUAUACGAUCAAUGCCUCAGCAGUUAAGUCCAGCGCUGCCCUACAAUGCUUUCUCUUUUAGAAAUCGGUUGUACUUAAAACUAUAAAUAUCUAAAGUGAAUAAAACAGUCAAAUGAUUAAAGUUAAAUAGAGGGAGACUUCAGAUAUGAAAUCAAUGGUUUAAUGUGCAGUGAUGUGUCCCAGAUCAGACAGUUAAAGCUUGUUAUCAUGAUUUACAUAUUAAUGACUUCUUAACUUUCAAAGAAAUGAAUAAUUGAGAAGAAAUAAAAUGUUUGAGUCGUAGUGUCCACUGAGCAUGUUUAAUGUUUCAUAUGUUACUUCCAGCAUAAUUAUACACAUGACGUUUGUGCGUGUGUCUUUAGGGUCGGUCUGACCCGUCCAGAAGAGCCAGAAAGAGAAAUUUAGAGACAUGGCUGGUGAACGAGUAUAUAAUGAUGAGGACGGUCCGCAUUGACCCGAGAGAUAAGUUCAGUUGCUGUAGUUGAUGUGAUGUUCGGUGGGUAAUUAAAAUCCAGCACUGAUGGGUGAAGAGAUGAAUGGACGGAGUGGUUUACAUGGAUUACUGUUGUUGUUUAAUCGCUCAGGCAGAAUGAUCUGCAGUUUAACAACAUUCAGCUCUCAUGUGUACGGUGUUAGGUUCUCCAUGGCUUCAAUAAUGACAAAUAAAGCACCAGAAGAAAACUUUUAAGUCUUUAUUUAAUUAAAUGUUCUGCUCCACAUCUCAUUCUUCAGUCCACAUGUUUGAUGAUGAUAUUAAAACCCCUUAACCGGACCAAAUAAUAAUAAUAAGUUAUAUUAAUUUGAAGGCACACAUCACCUUUUCACCCCCUCAUCCACUCUAUCUGGAGUUAAUAUGAAAAUAUAAAAAAUAAAAUACAAAUAUAGCAGUAAAACUUUGUUUAAAAAAGUAUAAAGUAUAUGUUUAAUAUAAAAAAACAUAACGAAAAUGUUUCAAGCCUAAAUCACUUAACAAUAAAGCCACAAGUAUCAACUACACUGUAAAAAGUGAAAAGUUGGAUCAACUUAAAAAACGACUUCAAUUGGUAAAACCUAGUUCUUUUAACUUAAAUGUUUGAGUGAGAAACACUUUAGGUGAAACAUUUAAGUUGAAACAACUAGGUGUUACCAAUGGAAGUCAUUUUUUAAGAUCCGACUUCUACUUCUUUCUGUUUAGUUUUGAACUAAAUUGCAAGUUUAAAUGCUUUUACCAACAAAUGCCACUAUAGGUGUCAUUGGUUUGCCACAUACUCUUGCUAUAAAAAUACAUUACUGUCACUGCAUUAUUAUUAAUGCAAAACGGUUUGGAAAUUUGAUCCACUCUUGGAGCUUCAAAGCGAUAAAGUUUUCAAGAUAUUUUAGUUUUAGAAAAGGCUAUUAUCGGUUUAAUAGUUAUGUAAAGAAUUAGUGUUCACCUGUGGGCCCAUGAAACUUAAUGAGUUAAUGAUGGUACAAAGUUUAAUACAAAAGAGAUUUGAUAGAUUUGGUGUUGAUGUGAGUCAGCUCUUUAAUUUUGAUGAUUUAAUGCAUAAUAAUGUUUGGAUUGUUUAUAAGAUUUUCUCUUUGUUAUAUUUGAUGUGGCCUGUGGUGUGACUGCCGCCCGUGUGAUGUAAUGAGGUCAUAACCAGGUGUCUGAAAUCUGAUGGAUCGUUGACACAAACACAGAAAGAUCUCAAACUAUUUUUAUCUGUCCUGUGUUUAGCUCGGAGCGACUUCAGACCGACCAAUCACAGGAAACAGAAGAUGCUGACCAAACGCCUGCUGAGCAGAAGAGGUGAUCAGACUGGUUUAGUUUUUUUCUGUAUCCUGUGAGACAGUUUCAGUGCUGUCAUAUGUUCAAGCCCACCAGCCAAUCCAUGACCCUGGAACAGCUGUGACAUCACACAUAAGUCACGCAGUCCAGCCGGAGGAUCUUUGUGUGUAUGUGACCUAUAUUACAGAGGAGAGGCGUCCACCGUGACCGAACCUUCGUCCGGCACCGGACCGCCACACAACACCUCCAGGAAAUUAGGGAAUUUUUCUUGCGUUCGGCUCUUGUCACCUUGCCUUAAACAUUCUGGUAAACGCACGCGGAGAUGCUGAUGUUAAAGAGAACCAGAGCGUUUGGGUAACGUGACCUCAGGUCAUUUGUGAAACCCGACGAUGAUGAUGUUUCGCUUGUCUGGCCAAUAGAUGAGCUCGCUUACGUUAAACUAACCCUGAGGAGACGUCUGCGGUUCUCUGCCGUAUAUGAUCGUCAUUUCUCCAACCCUUCUGGCCUUUAUAGCAGUGAGAUAUUGAUAUGACUGUCAGUCCUGGACCAGAACCUUUUCAACUUUACAGCUUUUAAAAUAUUCAUGUGUUUGUGUUCUGUUUUAAGUCAUUUGACACAUUGACAAUUAGGUAGCAAAGUUAAUUUUUUCAUUUGACAACUAAUAACCAAAAAAUACAUCAUAGAAUUUAACAAAUUGAUACAAAAAUAAGUGAUUCAAGUGAUGAUAAGAAUUUAAGCAUAUUCCCCAGAAAAAAAACACUACGAUUAAUAAAAAAAUGAAAAUCACCUGGAAUGUUUAA